AACGAACGCUGGUGGCAGGCUUAACACAUGCAAGUCGAACGCCCCGCAAGGGGAGUGGCAGACGGGUGAGUAACGCGUGGGAAUCUACCGUACCCUACGGAACAACAGUUGGAAACGACUGCUAAUACCGUAUACGCCUCACGGGGGAAAGAUUUAUCGGGGUAUGAUGAGCCCGCGUUAGAUUAGCUAGUUGGUGGGGUAAAGGCCUACCAAGGCGACGAUCCAUAGCUGGUCUGAGAGGAUGAUCAGCCACAUUGGGACUGAGACACGGCCCAAACUCCUACGGGAGGCAGCAGUGGGGAAUAUUGGACAAUGGGCGCAAGCCUGAUCCAGCCAUGCCGCGUGAGUGAUGAAGGUCUUAGGAUUGUAAAGCUCUUUCACCGAUGAAGAUAAUGACGGUAGUCGGAGAAGAAGCCCCGGCUAACUUCGUGCCAGCCGCCGCAGUAA
rnacentral:rRNA from 1 species